rnacentral:rRNA from 1 species
UACUCGAGUGGCGAACGGGUGAGUAACACGUGGGUGAUCUGCCCUGCACUUCGGGAUAAGCCUUGGAAACUGGGUCUAAUACCGGAUAGGAGCCAUUUUUAGUGUGAUUGUUGGAAAGUUUUUUCGGUGUAGGAUGAGCUCGCGGCCUAUCAGCUUGUUGGUGGGGUAAUGGCCUACCAAGGCAACGAUACGUAGCCGACCUGAGAGGGUGAUCGGCCACACUGUAACUGAGACACGGUCCAG